UCGUAAAUAAAAUGUUAAUUAUCUCACAAUCGAUCAGUGCAAAUUUUGACGUAAUUUUUGAAUAGUGAGUUAAAUAUUUUUGAGUUCGAAGUUUUUACGCGAAACUAAUACAUCAUCGCGACCAAGAAAGUUGUAUAGCACAAAAAGACUUCAUGAAAACAUCAAUAUGACCAGUAGAUAGAAAACCCGAAU